rnacentral:rRNA from 1 species
CCCGUACUUGGUGUUACUGCGAAGGGGGGACGGAGAAGGCUAUGUUGGCCGGGCGACGGUUGUCCCGGUUUAAGCGUGUAGGUGUGUGUUCCAGGUAAAUCCGGUUCACUUUAACACUGAGGCGUGACGACGAGGCACUACGGUGCUGAAGCAACAAAUGCCCUGCUUCCAGGAAAAGCCUCUAAGCAUCAGGUAACAUCAAAUCGUACCCCAA